rnacentral:tRNA from 2 species
CCCUGGUUAGCUCAGUUGGCAGAGCGCUUCACUUGUAAUGGGAGAGCUUCCGGGUUCGAUACCCGGACCAGACG